UACGAAGGGUGCAAGCGUUGUUCGGAAUCAUUGGGCGUAAAGCGCGCGCAGGCGGAUCAGCAAGUCAGAUGUGAAAUCUCGAAGCUCGACUUCGAAACUGCGUCUGAACUGACUACGAUGCUAGAAGUGAGUCGGAGGGGGCAGGGGAAUUUCGACGUGUAGGGGUAAAAUCCGUAGAGAUGUGAAGGAACACCGGGGGCGAAGGCGCCUGCCUGGACGACUAUUGACGCUGAGGCGCGAAAGCGUGGGGAGCAAACAGG
rnacentral:rRNA from 1 species